rnacentral:rRNA from 1 species
UACGAAGGGGGCUAGCGUUGUUCGGAAUUACUGGGCGUAAAGCGCGUGUAGGCGGGUCUUUAAGUCAGGGGUGAAAUGCCAGGGCUCAACCUUGGAACUGCCUUUGAUACUGGAGACCUUGAGUCCGGGAGAGGUGCGUGGAAUUUCCGGUGUAGCGGUGAAAUGCGUAGAUAUCGGAAGGAACACCUGUGGCGAAAGCGGCGCACUGGACCAAAACUGACGCUGAGGCGCGAAAGCUAGGGGAGCAAACAGG